GUUCCGUUCGACUUCCGGUGAGGUCAUCACCCUUUCAAGGUGACAAGAUGGGUUCGACCCCCAUACGGAACGCCA
rnacentral:tRNA from 1 species